UGUACCCUCAAGCAAUGCUUGGUGUUGGGCGUUUGUCCUGCAGAGGACUCGCCUGAAAGCGAUUGGCGGCCAACGUACUGGUGGUAGAGCGCAGCACAAUCUCGCGUCUCUCCCUUCUACGUUUGCGUCCAUGAAGCCUUUUUUCAAC
rnacentral:misc_RNA from 1 species